rnacentral:misc_RNA from 1 species
UGGAAGCAGAAGAAGGGAGGAGAGGAGAGGAAUGCGAAAGAAGUGAGUACAAUAACCAUACCCAUCCCCCAUCCUUGCAAACAGGGGAAAAAUACAGAACCAAUUCUUGUGAGUGGGAAUUUAGAGGUACAAAAGUAUAGCAUAAGAAUCUUCAAGGAUUGUGUAAGUAUCUUGUGAGUAGAAGUUGCAAAAGCUGGUUGAAGAAAAUGGUGAGUUGGUGUAAGGAAAUGAGAAAAACGAUGGAGCAGCAUGGGUGGCAUAAAAGGAGUAAGGAUGGAAAAAGAGGAAGCAAUUCAAUAGCACCGUACAAAUGAGCAGAGUUAAGGAAGAUGAGAGAAGUGCCGCCCGUACGCAGCAUGAAGAAAAGGAAGGUUGAAAUGUUGUGGAGCAGAACGACGCUGUUUGAAUGAAUGGCCUGGGUGUAGGUAGCGGAAUAUGGUGGCUGCAAUGGCGUGAGGGAUUUUUUUUUUAAGAAAAGGCUUGAAAAG